AAUCAAAAUGGUCUCUUCACACAAAUGCUUGUUUUUCACAUUUCUAUGUCUUGCUCUUCUUUUUAAUCAAGGUCUAGCGACAAGAGAUAUGUUUACUACAAAAGACAAGACUUUGUCUGUGAUGAAUGAAGAUGGUUUGGCCGAUCCAUGUGGAGAGAUACCAGACUGCAACCAAAAAUGUGUCGACCAAAAUUUCCCUAAAGGAGGAGUGUGCUUAGCACCUAAUGGUGAUGAAGAACCUGCAUCUAUUUGCCUUUGUAAACUUUAAAAUUUGAUUUAUUACAAUUUUAUUCAAUUUCAGAGUCAGUGAAAAAGACCAUUAAAUGACAAUAAUUAAGAUUAUCUAUCAUUCAAAAAAAUAA